UACGAAGGGGGCUAGCGUUGUUCGGGAUUACUGGGCGUAAAGCGUGCGCAGGCGGCUUCUCAAGUCAGGGGUGAAAGCCCAGAGCUCAACUCUGGAAUUGCCUUUGAGACUGAGAGGCUUGAGUACGGGAGAGGUGAGUGGAAUUCCCAGUGUAGAGGUGAAAUUCGUAGAUAUUGGGAAGAACACCGGUGGCGAAGGCGGCUCACUGGCCCGAAACUGACGCUCAUGCACGACAGCGUGGGGAUCAAACAGG
rnacentral:rRNA from 1 species